ACGGGUGAAUAUAGUAUACCGGCAAUGCUCACCAAUUCGCAGCAGCGGCGGCCCACAUUUAUUUAACAACGUCUAUCAGCUGAAUAAAAGUUUCUAAGCACAUGUUUAAGUGAUUACUGUAAAUAAAAGACGGGAAAAGUUUCCUUCAAGCUGAAGAAACUGCCCUUUUAUAUAAUUACCUCAUCAGCUGCACCAUCGAGAAAGUGCAUUUAUUAGUCGAAUGAGUUCUGGCGAUGGCAUUAAGUGACGAAUGACAUUUAGGCGAAUGCCAUUUCGUUCGUCCUUGUGGCACUGCGCGAAUGGCAUUAAAUCUGAAGGCAUUAGGAGCUCGCUGCAGCUUUGGGCCAUCCGGCAAGCUGAAGAUGCCGCCCUGGUGCAAGGACUUCGAGCAGCCACCUGAGGUACCGUCCUCACAAUCAACGGAGAGUGGGAAGGGACAGGGGUUUAUCCCCCUCUUCCCUCACCUCUCUCGGUAAAACUACCGGACUUCAAAUAAAGUCUAUACAUUCAUUCAUUCAGCUGCGACACAGAGUACAAAGCGUAGCUGGUUUCUUCCAAGUAAAUUCUCCUGUAUUUUU